rnacentral:rRNA from 1 species
UACGAAGGGGGCUAGCGUUGCUCGGAAUCACUGGGCGUAAAGCGCACGUAGGCGGCUUAGCAAGUUGGAUGUGAAAGCCCUCGGCUUAACCAAGGAAGUGCAUCCAAAACUGCUGAGCUUGAGUAGUUAAGAGGAUCGCGGAAUUCCCGGUGUAGAGGUGAAAUUCGUAGAUAUCGGGAGGAACACCAGUGGCGAAGGCGGCGAUCUGGGAACAUACUGACGCUGAGGUGCGAAAGCGUGGGGAGCAAACAGG